rnacentral:rRNA from 1 species
GACGAACGCUGGCGGCGUGCUUAACACAUGCAAGUCGAACGGAAAGGCCCUGCUUGCAGGGUACUCGAGUGGCGAACGGGUGAGUAACACGUGGGUGAUCUGCCCUGCACUUCGGGAUAAGCCUGGGAAACUGGGUCUAAUACCGGAUAGGAGCCAUUUUUAGUGUGAUGGUUGGAAAGUUUUUUCGGUGUAGGAUGAGCUCGCGGCCUAUCAGCUUGUUGGUGGGGUAAUGGCCUACCAAGGCGGCGACGGGUAGCCGGCCUGAGAGGGUGGACGGCCACAUUGGGACUGAGAUACAGCCCAGACUCCUACGGGAGGCAGCAGUGGGGAAUAUUGCACAAUGGGCGCAAGCCUGAUGCAGCGACGCCGCGUGGGGGAGGACGGCCUUCGGGUUGUAAACUCCUUUCGCUAGGGACGAAGCUUUUUGUGACGGUACCUAGAUAAGAAGCACCGGCUAACUACGUG